rnacentral:rRNA from 1 species
AGUAAAGCGGCGCACGGGUGAGUAACACGUGGAUAACCUGCCUCAAAGUGGGGAAUAACACCGGGAAACCGGUGCUAAUACCGCAUAUUCUGACGAGAUCUGUGGAUUUUGUCAGGAAAGGAGCAAUUCGCUAUGAGAGGGGUCCGCGGCUGAUUAGCUAGUUGGUGAGGUAAUGGCUCACCAAGGCUUCGAUCAGUAGCCGGUCUGAGAGGACGGUCGGCCACACUGGAACUGAGACACGGUCCAGACUCCUACGGGAGGCAGCAGUGGGGAAUUUUUCGCAAUGGGGGAAACCCUGACGAAGCAAUGCCGCGUGGAUGAUGAAGUAUCUCGGUACGUAAAAUCCUUUCGACGGGGACGAAACCGCAAGGUUGACGGUACCCGUAGAAGAAGCCCCGGCUAACUCCGUGCCAGCAGCCGCGGUAAUACGGGGGGGGCAAGCGUUGUUCGGAAUUACUGGGCGUAAAGGGUGCGUAGGCGGCUUUCUAAGUCGGAUGUGAAAACUCUGGGCUCAACCCAGAGCCUGCAUCUGAAACUGGAGAGCUAGGGUUCUGGAGGGGAAAGCGGAAUUCCUGGUGUAGCGGUGAAAUGCGUAGAUAUCAGGAGGAACACCGGUGGCGAAGGCGGCUUUCUGGACAGAUACCGACGCUGAGGCACGAAAGCUAGGGGAGCAAACAGGAUUAGAUACCCUGGUAGUCCUAGCCCUAAACGAUGGAUACUUGCUGUGGGGGGGAUUGAAGCCCCUUGUGGCGAAGCUAACGCAUU